GACGAACGCUGGCGGCGUGCUUAACACAUGCAAGUCGAACGGUAAGGCCCUUCGGGGUACACGAGUGGCGAACGGGUGAGUAACACGUGGGUGAUCUGCCCUGCACUUCGGGAUAAGCCUGGGAAACUGGGUCUAAUACCGGAUAGGACUCCGGACUGCAUGGUCUGGGGUGGAAAGCUUUUGCGGUGUGGGGUGGGCCCGGGGCCUAUCAGCUUGUUGGUGGGGUGAUGGCCUACCAAGGCGACGACGGGUAGCCGGCCUGAGAGGGUGACCGGCCACACUGGGACUGAGAUACGGCCCAGACUCCUACGGGAGGCAGCAGUGGGGAAUAUUGCACAAUGGGCGCAAGCCUGAUGCAGCGACGCCGCGUGAGGGAUGACGGCCUUCGGGUUGUAAACCUCUUUCAGCAUCGACGAAGCGAAAGUGACGGUAGGUGCAGAAGAAGGACCGGCCAACUACGUGCCAGCCGCCGCCGAA
rnacentral:rRNA from 1 species